rnacentral:rRNA from 1 species
GAUGAACGCUAGCGGCAGGCUUAACACAUGCAAGUCGAGGGGUAGAAGUUACUUGUAACUUUGAGACCGGCGCACGGGUGCGUAACGCGUAUUCAAUCUACCUUUUACAGAGGGAUAGCCCAGAGAAAUUUGGAUUAAUACCUCAUAGUAUCUUUGCCUGGCAUCAGGUGAUUAUUAAAGUUCCAACGGUAAAAGAUGAGCAUGCGUCAUAUUAGUUAGAUGGUAAGGUAACGGCUUACCAGGGCAACGAUAGGUAGGGGUCCUGAGAGGUAGAUCCCCCACACUGGUACUGAGACACGGACCAGACUCCUACGGGAGGCAGCAGUGAGGAAUAUUGGACAAUGGGCGCAAGCCUGAUCCAGCCAUGCCGCGUGCAGGAAGAAGCAUCUAUGGUGUGUAAACUGCUUUUGUACGGGAAGAAACACUCCCUCGUGAGGGAGCUUGACGGUACCGUAAGAAUAAGGAUCGGCUAACUCCGUGCCAGCCGCCGCGGUAAUAC